rnacentral:rRNA from 1 species
UAGGGAAUCUUCCGCAAUGGACGCAAGUCUGACGGAGCAACGCCGCGUGAGUGAAGAAGGAUUUCGGUUCGUAAAACUCUGUUGUUAGAGAAGAACAGCGCAUAGAGUAACUGUUAUGCGUGUGACGGUAUCUAACCAGAAAGCCACGGCUAACUACGUGCCAGCAGCCGCGGUAAUACGUAGGUGGCAAGCGUUGUCCGGAUUUAUUGGGCGUAAAGCGAGCGCAGGCGGUCAAUUAAGUCUGAUGUGAAAGCCCCCGGCUCAACCGGGGAGGGUCAUUGGAAACUGGUUGACUUGAGUGCAGAAGAGGAGAGUGGAAUUCCAUGUGUAGCGGUGAAAUGCGUAGAUAAAUGGAGGAACUCCAGUGGCGAAGGCGACUCUCUGGUCUGUAACUGACGCUGAGGCUCGAAAGCGUGGGGAGCGAACAGG